rnacentral:lncRNA from 1 species
ACGGCGAGGUGGAGAUAGAGAUGAGGGAUUGGCUGCACUGGUUCGUGCCUUUGUGCGUUCAUUCGAUCAUCCCCUACGGGGCCCGCACAAAAGGCCAGUUAGAACAUCAGAUUAUCUUUCUUUUUUUUGCGAACAGAUUAUCGUCUCCGCUUGUACGUGCACGUUUGCGUCAGGCGACGAAGAAUAACGAAAUAAUUUAAUCGGUUCUCUGGGUAAAAAGAUCAGUCGGAUUUGAAAGAAAAAAAAAAGUAGAAUAUCGGAUUUGCCUCUCCGCACAAGUUGCACUAAUCUUAUAGGUUUAGAAUAGUCGUACUAGCCAUUCAUCCGAAACUGCACGAACAUAAGAUCAUUGAACUUUCUUCGCAAAAAAAAAUACUUGAACUUAUUGUGGGCGAGGACACACCCACACCCCUUGCAUGGUGCAACGGGCUUCAAACCGCUAAUUCACCACCAGCGAGAAAGAAGAUUUCAAAGAUAAAAGUAAAACCAUG